CCCCAGCUUGUGUCACGGUUUCAAAUACCCUUCUGUCUCCUCACCUUUUGGUUUACUGUGUUUCACGAUUCUGUCUCCCCACCUUUUAAACGGCAACCCUUCAUCAGUGUUAAUUUUUCAGUGGUUUCAAUUCCUCAACGGCAACCCUUUAGCUUUUGCUAACGCCAGCCUAUAACAUCAGUCUCUUUGUCUUCCCUCCUUUGUCUCUUCCUCUCCUCACAAUUUAUUAAUACUGACAAAAAAGUGGAUGAUUCAAUUCAGGUAUUUGUGCUCUAUUCUUGUGACUGCCCCGCAUAAUUAUUCAAUCUGCAAAUGAUCGAAAUUCAAGAGCUGCAUGUGAUGACAAACCAAAUAAGAGAAGCUCCAGAUUUGUUUGCGUAAUGGUAAUACAAAAACAAUGUGGGUUAUUUGAUUAUUAUCCAGUUGGGGAGAGGUAAUAAAUUUUUUUACUUGCAAACAAGUUCAAGUAUUUAAAUUUCUCCUUCUGCCCAAGUCAUUAUUUUCUUUCUCAGCAUAACACAAUGCAAGACUAAUGCAAUGAUAUAUUUUUCUAGCUUAGAUUAUUGGGAGAAUUUAUGUGAAACAAUCUUGGACAAUAUUAAGGGUCUACUUAGAUCCUUAGGAAGUUUUAGGAAACAUAUGCAUAAUUUUUUAGAUUUGUAAAAUUUUCAUUUGCCCAAACUCAAACACUCAAAAACACCUCAUACAGUCUAAGUUUCAUAGACUUCAAAAAAUCUUUUUUUACAAAUUCCUGAUGCAAUAAGCUAUUCUUGGUAUAAAGUAUGCAUAAUAAAAGAACACCAAAAUCUACUUAAAAUUCUGCAGGGCAAGGAUUUUGUUAUUAUAAAGAAAACAAACUUUUCCCUAUCCUAGCUGCCUUGACUAAGUUAAGUAGGAAGUAUCUUAUUCUUUUUUCCUUUUCCCAUCUUGGAUUUGUUCAUUUCGCAUGAUAAGUAAUGUCUGUAAUUCUGUUUAUCAAAAGCAAAAAUAAAAAAUAAAUAAAAAAUAAAUAAAAAUGUCUCUAAUUCCACUGUUUUACUAUUUCAUUUUUCCAUCUACUCUACUCAAUAGAGUGGAGAGUGACCCCAUUUACGAUGACUCAAUUCUUGAUAGAGUCUUAUGCAGGAAUUGGAGUCUCAAUUCUAAUAUCCCUUAAGUCCAAGUAAUGGAAUGGAUUGGAUUCAUCUGUAUAGUUUUGUACAGGUGAUUUUGCUAUAAUUUGGGUUCUCCUUUGCUAUAACAGUACCAGUCUUUGUGUUGUAUAUGGAGGUUGGAGGUUGCAGCAAUAUGCUGUACAGAAUGAUGCAUAGCUUGCUCUACUGUUUGGUUGUUUGGCUUGUGCCAGUAUUUUUCUUUUGGUAGAUAGGGAUUAAUUUAAAGAUUUUGAGUUUAUUUACGUUGCAUGCAUCAUGUGAGCCUAGAUUUUUGGGUUGGGUCUUCUCCUAUGUGAUUUCAAUGAACAUGUAGUGUAAGAGUAUAACUUUUGCUGUCAUUUGUCAACCACUUUGUUUUAUGGCUAUUGAAAUUGUUGUAUAACUUAAUCUGGUCCCUUGAAUUGAUUCUGUUGUGGACCUAUUUUAUGUGUAAUUUAAUAAUUUUAUAGAAUUUGAGUUUGAUUCAUUUCUAUCUGUUUAAAAGAUUCAGUUUUUGGAAAUUCUGAGAAUUGAGGUUUUAUAUAUUAA